rnacentral:lncRNA from 1 species
UCCUGGGUGUCUGUGUAGACAGAUGGCUGGGUCCUUAAUGUGUCCCCCAAGUUGCAAAGGCAGAAGUGGCCAGGCCUUCUUCAGACUCAGGCCUGGAGCGAGCAUGACUUUUUCCGUGGCUGCUAUGAGAGAAUCAGGCUCAGCCCAAGGUGUGGAGUGGUGGUCCCAUGCUCUGGGGCCACCAGUCUGUCAGAUAGCCCCAGCCCGUGCCAUAGAAGCAAGUGGCUGUAGUUAGCAAGAGCCCAGGCUGCUUAUAGUAGCUGGUGUAAACUGUGUGUCAGAUGAGAAAUGUACAGCAGGCCUUCUAGAAGCUUCUGAGUCAGCUUUUCUGUCACCACAUGUGUGCUGUACCAUGCCCCUGAAGACUUGGUGAGUGAGUAGAUGGGAGCUCAUUCUCCGGCGCCUUGGCUGAGGGUGAAGUGGGGCAGUCUUGGCCAGGCCUCCUGUCAGUUCCAGUCAGAUGCUUUUGCCCUAGCCAAACAGCAGGAUCUGCUAAUGUUCUGCCGUAAGUGCCUUCUCCAGAGCUGUCCCUCUGCCCGAGUGUUGAUCCUCGAGAGCACGUCUCGACGAGAGCUUCCAGAUUCGAUGCUCAUGACCAAGCACUGGCACAGGCUCCACCUGCACUCUUCUUGCUUCAGUUCCUGAAAGGAAGGACUGGACCUGCCCUGCAGCUGCCCUUUCUGGGGCCUCCUACUCCCUGGUAGCCUGAGGUAGUUGGGGAGCACAGGGGCCACCAUUUCCUUAGAGCAUGUGCAUCCAUCCUUGUCCUUCUCCGCUGAAUUCAGUUGCUUCAGAGCACACCGUGGCCUGGCCGGAAUGUGGAGACUGCUGUCUUCUCGGCGAGCCCGCAAUGAAAUCAGUCAGUGUUCACAGCCGGGUCCCAGAUCCCAUUCUUUAUAGCACAUUGUCACAGUGAACUAUGUUGGGUUGUUGCUAAUAUCAAGACUCUGGACUUGGAGGGCAGAGUUUAUCACCAGCACACAGAGGUUAGCUGAGCAGCUGUUCUACUGAGCUAACAUUUCUACCUGCAGCUUGAGAUCCUGGAGCAGAGAGACCUGUGGUUGGCCCGUGUUCAGCACAGCAAGUGGUUUCCUUCGGAUUCCCUCCUAGAAUCCAGUCAGUGGCCAUCCUCCCGGGUCUGUCAGUGUGAUGGAAGGUGGUCGCAGGGUCUCAGGAGGGCGCUCUGUGUGUUGGUGUGUUGUGGAGUCUGGAAAGAGGAGGUGUGGAUUUGAAACAGUGGGGUGAAAGUUGCACAGGUGGUUCAUGAGCAAGUCAUGGCACAGGGCCAGCACUGAGCAGACGACAUGUGACACACAUGGUCCCCUCACUGCUGAGCCUUUUAAAUUAGAAGCAUAGGAUUUUGUACUUGGGGAGGGGUGGGGUGGGGAGAUUGUCUAGCACAUGGCCUUGGUUUCUAGAAAGCUUCACUUGAGAGUAUUAAUGCUUGUCACACGGUGUGCGGCCUUCCUGAUGCCCCAGGCUGCCUCUGCCAUUGCAGUUGGUGCCUUUCUAAUGGGAAACUGGGGCUGGGAAACAGUACCGCCAGCAGCUCAGAGGUGCUCAGCAUUGUUUCCAGGGGUUUGCUGGGGGUUCAAGAGAGCAUGAGUCCUGUUUUCCUGCAACAGGACCGAGGUAGGUGCACUCGGGAGGGAAACACACAGGUAGAAGUGUGGGCUCUGCUCCUGUUGAUUGUCUGGGGACAUUUUACAUCGUUUCAGAUGCCUGUCAUAGGGUCUGCGCUAGCCUACCGUUUUGUUGAAUCUCUUCCCCUUCUUGGAAAGAAACUCCCGAGUAGAGUUUACUGCAUCUCCCAUCGCUAGCAGCUCUGCUCUUGCAGAGUUUUCGGGACACAGCAAAGCAGAGAGCAGCUCCUGUCGGUGCUGUAGAACCUGGCUGUGCAUCAAAGUAGUUUGACAACUUCCCCUCCUAAACUUCAAUCAUGGGAUUAAUAAUAUACCUGUUUAUUUAUGACCUAAUUGUGACUCUUAUUACUAAAAGCUAGUGGGAAAGGCCCAUCCAAGAAGCUAGUGACUAGACUCACGCUUAGCUUUCCCACAGCAUAGGAAGCAUCAGGCAGAGUAUUAAAGAAAUAUAAUAUUUUACUGAUAAACCUGUCCUUUAAAAGGAACGUGUUUUGGGUGUCAUCAUUUUGGUGUGAAUCAUGUAAGUGUUGGCUGUUUGCUGUGUAUUACACUUUAGUGUCAGGAGACGCACUCAGCGGGCUUCUGCCCACGCAUAUCGUGUAGUCUGCGGAUUUUUAAGCGACAUUAACAGAAUAGUUUGUGUAGAGAAACCUCAAGCUGUUGCCUCCCCACCUGCGUCAUGAGUGUAUGUGCAUCCGGGUAUCAUCAGAGGCAGUGUAUUUGUGAGCUGUCUGGAACUAAAAGUGAGAAUAAAACCAUUUUCUUGU